GCGGAGAGAGCCAUCCGUAGCUGCUACAAUCCCUGUUCUUCUUUCGCUCAUUGCAGAGGAAAGGGAAGGACGAUUCGCGCGCUCUCCACAUGCAGGUUUCGAGGGCUGGGCCUUCUUUCCUCCCUCUUUUAACUUCUCACCGCGAAGUUGCCUGCCUUUGCACCCCCGCCGGCCUGGCAUGGUUUGUCCUGGAGCAAAGCAUAAAGGGAACGGAAGGCAAGGGAGGCCAUCCUUCUGCCUGGCGCGCGAGGGGACCGGGUUUGACUCGGCGGUUAUGGAGGCAACGAAGCGCCCCAGCCUAGGCGCGCGGCGAAAGCCUCGGAGGCUCCCAGGACGGAAGUGGGAGCGCGGGGACGACUUCCGGCACCCCUCGUGACGUUCCGCUGGAAAGGCGCGUGGCCUGGCCGCCGAUUGCAAAGCGCGAGACCAGUAGAAACACGUGAUGUAAGCAGACAAAGCUGUCAUUUUGAAUGAAAGUAAUUCUUAGGAUGCAGUUGUAGAAUGACUGAGCCAGAAAGUAAAAGAGAGAAGAUGGGCUUUUUGUACAAAGACUGGCAAAAGAACCAUUGUUCUGAGGCAGCUUCACAGCAACUCUGCACUAGAUAUACAGCACAAUGCAAGAAUAGUGCUCUGGCAUCU